rnacentral:rRNA from 1 species
UACGUAGGGGGCAAGCGUUGUCCGGAUUUAUUGGGCGUAAAGAGCGUGUAGGCGGCCAGACAGGUCCGUUGUGAAAACUCGAGGCUCAACCUCGAGACGCCGAUGGAAACCGUCUGGCUAGAGUCCGGAAGAGGAGAGUGGAAUUCCUGGUGUAGCGGUGAAAUGCGCAGAUAUCAGGAAGAACACCCGUGGCUAAGGCGGCUCUCUAGUACGGUACUGACGCUGAGACGCGAAAGCGUGGGGAGCAAACAGG